CCUACGGGCGGCAGCAGUGAGGAAUAUUGGUCAAUGGGCGCGAGCCUGAACCAGCCAAGUAGCGUGAAGGAUGACUGCCCUCCGGGUUGUAAACUUCUUUUAUAAAGGAAUAAAGUGCGGCACGUGUGCCUUUUUGUAUGUACUUUAUGAAUAAGGCUCGGCUAACUCCGUGCCAGCAGCCGCGGUAAUCCGGAGGGGCCGAGCGUUAUCCGGAUUUAUGGGGUUUAAAGGGGGCGUGGAUGGGUUGUUAAGUCAGUUGUGAAAGUUUGCGGCUCAACCGUAAAAUUGCAAUUGAUACUGGCAGACUUGAGUGCAGUUGAGGAGGGCGGAAUUCGUGGUGUAGCGGUGAAAUGCGUAGAUAUCACGAAGAACUCCGAUUGCGAAGGCAGCUUACUAAACUGCAACUGACAUUGAGGCUCGAAAGUGUGGGUAUCAAACAGGAUUAGAUACCCUUGUAGUC
rnacentral:rRNA from 1 species